rnacentral:rRNA from 1 species
UACACUAGCAACCAUCAUUGAUUCCACCUAACCACAAAGUACUUCAAAUUGUCUAACCACGAGUACCACACCACCAUGCGGUCGACGAACGUUAUACGUAAUCGUUAGUUGUGGUCCAAAGGUAUUUCUGGGUUUCUCUUCGUCUCGUUGUCACUUCUAUACAUAUAUGGCUCGUACAUCCCCGUCGGACGUUCAACGGCCGCAAGAAGUCUUGACAACUUAUUGAAUUUAAUUGUUCAACCGUUGGAAACUUACACAUCUUGUCAUCGCUCCUCUAACAACGGCUGGAAUGUUUAGUGAUACGGGUUGUACGUGUAUAGACUAAAGGAGUACAACCGUAAAAAUGUAGGUCUUUUUCUGACAGGUUUGUUGUGGAUACCAGUUAAAAUUAACAGUUGCCAACAAACAAAACGUGUGUAAUAAAAGAUUUAAUUACAGUUUGAAGUUGUCUAUAUAUGAAGAUUGUCUCAGUUUGUACGAUGUGCGUAUAGUAAAAGAAUCUACCAUAUAUUCCGAACUUAUUAUUAACACCCAAGAGUGCAUGAUACAUGAUAUUGCAUUCUCUUUGAUGUA